AUUGAACGCUGGCGGCAGGCCUAACACAUGCAAGUCGGGCGCGCGGCGAGCGGGUGAGUAAUGUAUGGGGAUCUGCCUGAUGGCGGGGGAUCACUACUGGAAACGGUAGCUAAUCCCGCAUACCCUCGGAUGACCCCAUAUGGGAUUAGCGAGUAGGUGAGGUAACGGCUUACCUAGGCGACGAUCCCUAGCUGGUCUGAGAGGAUGAUCAGCCACAGUGGGACUGAGACACGGUCCAGACUCCUACGGGAGGCAGCAGUGGGGAAUAUUGCACAAUGGGCGCAAGCCUGAUGCAGCCAUGCCGCGUGUAUGAAGAAGGCCUUCGGGUUGUAAAGUACUUUCAGUCGGGAGGCGUUACCGACAGAAGAAGCACCGGCUAACUCCGUGCCAGCAGCCGCGGUAAUUC
rnacentral:rRNA from 1 species